rnacentral:rRNA from 1 species
GAUGAACGCUGGCGGCGUGCUUAACACAUGCAAGUCGAACGAAGCAUUUGCGACAGAUUUUUUCGGAAUGAAGUUGCUUAUGACUGAGUGGCGGACGGGUGAGUAACGCGUGGGUAACCUGCCUUGUACUGGGGGAUAGCAGCUGGAAACGGCUGGUAAUACCGCAUAAGCGCACAAUGUUGCAUGACAUGGUGUGAAAAACUCCGGUGGUAUACGAUGGACCCGCGUCUGAUUAGCUAGUUGGUGAGAUAACAGCCCACCAAGGCGACGAUCAGUAGCCGACCGGAGAGGGUGACCGGCCACAUUGGGACUGAGACACGGCCCAGACUCCUACGGGAGGCAGCAGUGGGGAAUAUUGCACAAUGGAGGAAACUCUGAUGCAGCGACGCCGCGUGAGUGAAGAAGUAAUUCGUUAUGUAAAGCUCUAUCAGCAGGGAAGAUAGUGACGGUACCUGACGAAGAAGCUCCGGCUAAAUACGUG